rnacentral:rRNA from 1 species
UACGUAGGUGGCAAGCGUUAUCCGGAUUUAUUGGGCGUAAAGGGAACGCAGGCGGUCUUUUAAGUCUGAUGUGAAAGCCUUCGGCUUAACCGUGGAGGGUCAUUGGAAACUGGUUGACUUGAGUGCAGAAGAGGGAAGUGGAAUUCCAUGUGUAGCGGUGAAAUGCGUAGAGAUAUGGAGGAACACCAGUGGCGAAGGCGGCUUCCUGGUCUGCAACUGACACUGAGGCGCGAAAGCGUGGGGAGCAAACAGG